GUAUAUCUCAGAUGCUGCACAGCCCUCCAUGAUUUUAAAUAAUUAAAGGAUUACAGAUCACUUGCGUCACCUACGUCAUGUGAGCUUCACACAGCACACAGAGAUGGGACCAUCAGACAGCGACAGCAUCAGAAAGGAUGGAGUUAAACUUUGGAAAUAAUGCUCAACUGUAGGAGUUCAGACGCUGAGGACCAAGAACCUUCUGUGAUGGGACAGCUAAAGACCAAGAGGGCUGUUGUGGCUGACAGGAUCGCGUCCAUUGUCUUGUGCUACCCUGGAAAUAGAAGUGAGGACUGUACGGAGCAGAGAAAGCGCUGAAGGAGGAGCAUCCUGGGAGAACUAUGCUGUUGAUGUGGGCACGGCCAUAUCAAGGACCUCAGAGCCUCUGGUCUGUGGAGGAACAGCAAAGCCUUCCCCUUGGCACAGUGAGUUGAGAGAAGACACAGUGAUAGUACAGAGUGAGGCACCACUGGAGACUAUAGAGCAAGUUAGUCCUGCCCUUGAAGAACACACCAUCUAGAAGAAGAAACUAAAAAGAAGAAGUGAAGAAGCCGCUAAAUCUUCAUGAAAUGUGAAGAGCUUUAAAACAGAGAAAAUGGGAGCUGGGUGGGAAACGGUGGUGAGAGAAAGCUUUCUCUAGGUGCUGGUCUUGAGUAAAGUCAUGAGAAAGUACACAAGAGCAAACCCAGAGGGAUGGGGUGGGGAGAGCGUGUGCAAAGGCCCUGGGGCAAGAGAUCUGUAGAUGAACAGAGCAGAGGCCAGGGAAGACACAG